AGCAAUGCCAUAUUAACAGAGCUUAACUAUAUUAAAACACAUCCUAAAUAUAAACGAUAUAUCAUAUUUUCUGACUCGCUCUCUUAGCUUCAGGCUAUACAAAAUCUCUCUUGCAAGCAUCCGCUUUUAAUCGAUAUGAUUGAAUUAUAUAUUGAUCUUGCUAUUGGCCAAUACGACAUCGUCUUUUGUUGUAGUGAUGAAAUGAAAC